AAGAAGAGAUUUAUUGCAAAGCAAAAAGUACACACUCAAGAAAGGGGAGUUCGGGCAUACCCGACAGAGAACAAUGGGUUCUGGGGUUUCAUCUUGAUUGGUUUCUCUAACCAAGGAGUGGAAUAGUCAUGAAAAUUCCUGGGUAAAGGUGGAGAUUUCUCAGAACUGUGGUGCCAUCCAUUUUUACAUCACAUAUUGGUCUCAGAACUGUCAUGGCACUGGUGGGUGUGUGACUUAGUAUGUUAAUGAGCAUAUAAUGAGGGCCUCGGUAAAACCUACAUCAAAUCCAGCACCACAUUGGGUCCAGUCAGUCUUAGCCAGCUUGGUCCACACUCCGGUUUUUCAGCGUCUUAUCAGCCCAUAGCCUCAAGUCGUGUAAAUCUGCUGCCUAUAAUUUGUUAGCCUGUGACCACCCUGUAUUAUUCCUGUCUCAAAUCUACUUGUAAAUAUUCAAAUGGUCUUUGACUUGGGCAUUCCAACUUUGCUUAUUUCACAGUGUUUCCUGCGUUAUAAUCCAAUAUAAGAAAAGAUGAUCCAGACAUUUGUUAAACAUCUCAAAUAAGAUGUAUCCCAAGUAUUUGUGUCAAAUUUGGAUUAUUUUGGUUUUGUCUUUGCAGAAUAUAAAAAACUAACAUGAGGUAAGCACUAAGGUCUGGAGAUGGCUGUGCAAGAGAUGACAAAGUCCAACACCAUGUGUCCAAUCAUCUCUUCUGGGGCAGCAUAUUUUUCUACAAUACUGAAUUUGGAAAAAAAAACCCAACAACCUCAAAAAAAAAAAAAACCUACAAGAUUCGUGAAACUGUACAACUGUCUUUAUAACAUUACCAGUGAUAAAAUCAGUAAGGAAGGCUGGUUUGCAGUCAUCUGAGCAGUCUCUUUACUUUCAUAAAUAUGGUUUCUCUCUGAUAUUAAACGGCUUCCAAUUUCAAGCGGAAUGCCACCUCCCAAGGACAAGGAUGUGAAGAGAAUUGGUUUCUUUUGUAAUCCUAAACGUUCUAGUCUGCGAAUUAAAAGCCAUUAUUUGAAGAAGGGUGCCCAGGCUCCAUCUGGCCGCCGAAAGUUUGCUCCGCAACGCAGGCUAAGGACAAGCUUCUUUGGGCGAGAACAGAUGCGGGGGCGGGAGGGAAAAAGGGAGAGGCAGACUUCAUUUUCCCUUGCCGGCUGAGACAGCGGGUUGGUCGGCUGAGCGGUAGAAAGGCAGACGGGGACUGGGAAAGGCACUGUCGGUGACAUCACGGAUAGGGCGACUUCUAUGUAGAUGAGGCAGCGCAGGGGCUGCUGCUUCCCCACCUGCUGCUUCGCCACGAAGGAGUUUCCGUGCCGUGGGAGCGGGUUCAGGACCGCUGGUCGGACCUGAGAGUCACAGCUGUGUGUCAGGGCUAGGAGGGCUCGGGGAUGCGCUGGGCAAGUGACCGUGCGUGUAAAGGGUGAGGUGUAUGAGGCUGCGGCGGGGUGGAGUUGCAGAGGCUUAUAUUUCCCUGUCAGGAGAGGUACUAUACUUACGAAAGUGGUUUUUCAGGGUGUUAUUCUUACAGUGGAAGGCUGGGGAAUAGGAAGUAACAUGUCGACUCUGCCGGAGGAGGAGAAAUAAGAACCGUCAGCUGUUGUAACACAAGAAUGUGACUGAAAUGAGGACAUUUAAAGACAUACAAAAAAUGAAAGAAUUCAGCAACCCACACUGCAAGAAAUGCAAAAGGAGUCCUCCAGGCCUAAGGAUAAGGAUACCAGACAGAAAACUGGAUCUACGUAAAGAAAUGGAGACUACUGGAAAUUGUUCCUCCCUAUUCUGCUUCAACAACAACAACAAAAAACAAUUCUCACCUCCAGAAGAUCCAGCCUGUGCCUCUGCAAGAGGCCUUCGGGAGGUCUGGAUGUCUGGUCCACCGCUCCCCGGCUUCUUUCCCUGCUUUUACUUUUCCCUUCCCCCGCUCCUGCCCUUCUGCCUCAGGAUCCGACCACCGCCCAGCUGAGCCCCUGCGGCUCCACCGCGGCAGAAAGGUGCACUGGAGGCCCUGCCCGUUGCCCGCCCCAGGGGAUGCCGAGAAAUCAACGUGAAUAAACGCUUUGAAAAAAGAA